rnacentral:misc_RNA from 1 species
CAGACCACCAUAGCUUUCACUCCGAUCCACCAACGUGAGACAGAUAAACGAAGUGGUGCAGUGCAGACUCCGCAAACCGAUGGCGAGCGACCCCCUCUUGAGGUUUGCUUUGCUUAUGCAGAUGUAGAUGCUGCAUACAAGAGGGCGGUGGAGAACGGAGCAGUGGCGUUGAGCCAGCCGGAGGACAAAGAAUGGGGACAGAGAGUUGGAUACGUGCGUGAUAUCGAUGGAAUCGUGGUGAGGAUGGGAAGCUAUGUAACGAAGCCUGCA